CAGUCGCCACGGUAAGACGGAGGAUGCAAGCGUUAUCCGGAAUGAUUGGGCGUAAAGGGCUCGCAGGCGGUUUCUUAAGUCUGAUGUGAAAGCCCCCGGCUCAACCGGGGAGGGUCAUUGGAAACUGGGAAACUUGAGUGCAGAAGAGGAGAGUGAAACUCCACGUGUAGCGGUGAAAUGCGUAGAGACGUGGAGGAACACCAGUGGCGAAGGCGACUCUCUGGUCUGUAACUGACGCUGAGGAGCGAAAGCGUGGGGAGCGAACAGGAUUAGAUACCCCUGUAGUCCCUGUCUCUUAUAA
rnacentral:rRNA from 1 species